GAUGAAGAACGUAGUGAAAUGCGAUAAGUAGUGUGAAUUGCAGAAUUCAGUGAAUCAUCGAAUCUUUGAACGCACAUUGCGCCCCUUGGUAUUCCAUGGGGCAUGCCUGUUCGAGCGUCAUUUGUACCUUCAAGCUUUGCUUGGUGUUGGGUGUUUGUCUCGCCUUUGCGUGUAGACUCGCCUUAAAAUAAUUGGCAGCCGGCGUAUUGAUUUCGGAGCGCAGUACAUCUCGCGCUUUGCACUCAUAACGACAGCGUCCAAAAGUACAUUUUACACUCUUGACCUCGGAUCAGGUAGGGAUACCCGCUGAACUUAAGCAUAUCAAUAAGCGGAGG
rnacentral:misc_RNA from 1 species